rnacentral:misc_RNA from 1 species
GAUGAAGAACGUAGCGAAAUGCGAUAAGUAAUGUGAAUUGCAGAAUUCAGUGAAUCAUCGAAUCUUUGAACGCACAUUGCGCCCGCCAGUAUUCUGGCGGGCAUGCCUGUUCGAGCGUCAUUUCAACCCUCAAGCCCUGCUUGGUGUUGGGGAUCGGCGUUGCCUCCUCCGUCGUUCGCGGCGGGGUGAGGUCGCCGCCCCCGAAAUGAAUUGGCGGUCUCGUCGCAGCUUUCCUUUGCGUAGUAACAUACCACCUCGCAACCAGGAGCGCGGCGCGGCCACUGCCGUAAAACGCCCAACUUUUUCAAGAGUUGACCUCGAAUCAGGUAGGAAUACCCGCUGAACUUAAGCAUAUCAAUAGCGGAGGA